rnacentral:lncRNA from 1 species
CUGACUUCUCAUUCUCUCGUUACUCUCUCUCGCAGCUGAAGACUAAAGAUUGCCUCUUGUAGCUACCACCGUCAUUUCUCCGACGCAAUGAAGCUACGUGGUCCAUUGACCUUCCUAGGGUUUUGGUCUGAAGCCUAAUAAAGCUAUUAGAAGUGGCUGCAAACCCUGUUCUUCCCUCUCAUCGGCUCCAGCAAUGUUCAGCAUCUGCCUCUUCCAGUACACUAUUUUUAUGAUAUCUCAUUCCACAUUAUGUAUUUAUAUAUAUUCUAGUAUUUGUAAUUAUUCAUUUUACAAUUGUAUCUUUAGUUGUAGUAGUAUGCGAACAAUUAUUAUUAAAGAUUUACAGGUUUUGAUUUGUGAAGGCAGUUUCUUUUGAAGUGUUCCCAACAAGUUAUUUUUCUUUAAAAAAAUUAAUAUUGGUUGUGUGCCUUCCAUGGAGUGUGAUAUGAGAAAAUAUGUUAAUUUUUUCUUUGAGUUUCUGUGAGCAAACUGACAUAGAGUUGAAAUAGGCCUCUAGAAAUAAAGAUUUGAAGAUUUACCGUCGACCAGUUAGGGAUUUUUGGUGGGGCUGUACAUUAGAUCCUUGUGCAUUUAUUUUUAAAGUCAUAAUUGUAACAUCAAAUUAUAAUAUUUAAAUUUUAAGUCAAAGUGUAUAUGAUUAAUUUUGGGAAUUUCUCUGGACAGACCCUAUUGGACAUAAUUGGUCAGUUAAUUGGUUUGUUUUGGAUCCAAGUGCUUGACCUUUGUUUGUAGUUGAACAACUUGCCAAGAUACAGAACAAGGAGGGACAAAAUAUGGAUCUCUACAUUCCCAGAGAGUGGUGUGUAUCUAUUCUGCCGAUGAUAUUAUUAGGUCUUUUAUGCAUUUACCUUGCUGUUUCAUAUUAUAAAAGUGAAAUUUGUGAGUUGCACGAUGUUUGACAGUAUGGGAAAUUUUAUCGGUGCUAUGUCAUGUCGUGCAUUUGAAAAAAUUUAUGGUUUGAAUUUGUUAAGCAUAUCGUGUCUUCUGAUACUUUAAUGCGUUUUGAAUAUUAUGGUAAUAUUACCAAAGCAAAUAAGUCACAAUUAAUUUUAAUUGCAAACAUUUGGCUCCUAAGUACUUAAUUUUUGGACCAUUUUUUUUAAUUGUUAUUUUCUAUUAUUUUUGUUUGAUGUUGAUAUUGAAGUUGAGUUAUAUAAUCGUGAGUUUGCAUAAGCAAAUGAUGUUAGCAACAAUAUUCACCCACCUUUUGCCACCUCCUGCCAAUUUACUUCGGUAUUUAAAGUAAAUUUGGUGCUCCAAACGUGCUUUUCUGGCAACUGUAAAAUGAUGAUAUGCUGUAGUUGGGUCCAUUUCAUGCUUUUGUUGAUAACUUCUGAUAUUUGACUCAUGCCUAUACUUCUAUCUAAUUCUGCAGGCAGCUGAUAUCAAAAGCAGCAUAUCUAA